rnacentral:rRNA from 1 species
UGGGGAAUCUUGGACAAUGGGCGCAAGCCUGAUCCAGCCAUGCCGCGUGGAUGAUGAAGGCCUUAGGGUUGUAAAAUCCUUUUCGCCGAGGACGAUAAUGACGGUACUCGGAGAAGAAGCUCCGGCUAACUUCGUGCCAGCAGCCGCGGUAAUACGAAGGGGGCUAGCGUUGUUCGGAUUUACUGGGCGUAAAGCGCGUGUAGGCGGGUCGUUAAGUUGGGGGUGAAAUCCCGAGGCUCAACCUCGGAACUGCCUUCAAAACUGGCGACCUGGACCUAAGUAGAGGCAAGUGGAAUUGCGAGUGUAGAGGUGAAAUUCGUAGAUAUUCGCAGGAACACCAGUGGCGAAGGCGACUUGCUGGACUUAUGGUGACGCUGAGACGCGAAAGCGUGGGGAGCAAACAGGAUUAGAUACCCGGGUAGUCCCUGAGCGGGCUGGCAAGGCGCAU